rnacentral:lncRNA from 1 species
UAACAUAGAGUGGAAUGUUCUAGAGGUAGUUUCCAUGGAAUAAUUUGAAAGUGGUGUGAAAGUUUAUAAAUAUUAUUAUUUUAUUAUGUCUCUAGACUCUUCCAUUCUCUCUAUUUUAUUACUCACCUUUCCCAUUUCCAACUCCAUUAAUCACAUUUCUCUCUCUUUCUUCAUUAGUAUGUUUCUUUUUUCUUUCUUCUUUUCUCUUCAACCCUUUAUUUUUUAUCUAAUUCGUUCUUAUUUCGAUUAUUAUUGUUAUUAUUUUCAGGACUUUCUCAUCGUUUAAGAUAUUCUUUCAUUGUUGAAGAUUCUAUCCAUAAUGUCUCAUAUCCUUUUAUUAUUACUCACUCAUUCUUUAUAUUUUUUUCACGAUUUUAGAUUUAUGCUUGUUGCCCAUUUUUUUGUGUGUGAAGAUUAACAGAAAAUAGUGCAUUCUGCUAUGAUUGGUAGAAAAAAAAUUGGAUUUUUUUGUGAUUGUUUAUCUAUCCUUGCAUAUUGAGAAAAUUACACUAGUGUCCCUUGAAUUUGACAUAUUGUGUUAGAUAGUGUUUGUUUCGAUUAGGUUUUAAGGUUUUAUUGGAACCAUAUUGUUUUUUUCUUUUUACUUUUUUGUCCCAUUCAAUUCUUUAGAUUUGGUUCUAUAACCAUAGUUCUAGUACCCUGACCUGAUUUUUUACUGUAAUUAUUCACAGUUAGUAACUACCCACAAAUGUGAGAUGAGUUAAUGUAAUUGUGGUUAUUGUGGUCGUAGUUUGAAUAUACUUCGAUGUCAUCUCGUAUUGUUGUAUUUGCGGGUGAUGACAUCAGGUGAUGAUGCGAUUCACAAUUUGAUACAAUAUAACAUAUAUCAAACUUAACAUUUGAUUUGUUACAAUACAUAAUUUAAUCUUAGAGUUAGAGUUUAAAAUCUAUGCACUAACAAACUGUUAGUACGUCAUUUACCAUUGAUUUGUGAUACUUUUGUUUAAAAGUCAAUACUAGCAAAUAUAUGAAUGGUGAAGAUUUGUGCACCGACUUUAGACUGUCAGUCCGUCGUUUACCAUUGAUUUGUAAUACUUUUUGUUUAAAAGUCCAUACCACCAAAUAUAUGAAUGGUGGAGAUUUGCUGACUUUAGCAUAGCAUAAAAAUUUUACUUUUUAUGAACUGACUUUAGAUUGUCAGUGUAUAUAUAUAUAUAUAUAUAUAUGUUAAAUCCUAAUUUUAUGGACAAGCAAUUAAAUCAAAUAUUGGGGAUAUUUGUCUGAUUUUCCUUAUUUACCCCUCCAUAAAAUCAAUAAUAAAAUCAAUAAUUUUUUUUUACUAUUGUUCUGUUUGUUUACAUGAGAGUGAAUCUCGAGAUAAUGGUAAAGUUACGAGUUUAAAUCUUAUUAAGUGAGAGUUUUAUGUACUGGGUCGAAAUCGUUGUUUAUCUUUAACCGAAGCGAACGGGGUAACCAGAGGGAUCGAGACCGUGAAAGGGCUCAAGCCAGAGCCGGUGGAAAAACGAAACCCAAAAAUGAUGGGUUAACCCCAGAACAACGAAGGGAAAGGUUGUUUCGUUCUUCUUUAUCCACUCAUUUUGAUACCUCAUACUCCUCAAUGUACUUAAUUUUGUAUGUUAUUUUGGCACAUUUUUAUGCAGAGAUGCAAGAGCAUUACAAGAGAAAACAGCAAGAAAAGCAUCACAAAGUGGUGGAGGGAACAAUGCAGGUGGUUUAGGAGGCAAAAAAAUAGCACAAACUCGUUGAGUUGUUAAGGGUUUUUGAUGAUAUGGGAGAAUUUGUAUUGCUUAUUCUGAUAUGGGUUUUUGGAUUAGAGUCAUGUGCUUAUGUUUAUGUUUGAUGGGGCAUUGUUGUUAUAGUUGUUGGCUUCUGAACCUUUUGCUUGUAUCUAAUUUGAAAUGCAUAUUUCUCUAUAGCUUUUUGUAAUGAUAUUUUGUUUUCUUUCCCAUUAUUAGUGUCAGUGUUAUAAAAACCGG